rnacentral:rRNA from 1 species
GUAACAAGGUCUCCGUUGGUGAACCAGCGGAGGGAUCAUUGCUGGAACGCGCCCCUGGCGCACCCAGAAACCCUUUGUGAACUUAUACCUUACUGUUGCCUCGGCGCAGGCCGUCCCCUAUGGGGUCCCUUGGAGACAAGGAGCAGCCGGCCGGUGGCCAAAUUAACUCUGUUUUUACACUGUAACUCUGAGUACAAAACAUAAAUGAAUCAAAACUUUCAACAACGGAUCUCUUGGUUCUGGCAUCGAUGAAGAACGCAGCGAAAUGCGAUAAGUAAUGUGAAUUGCAGAAUUCAGUGAAUCAUCGAAUCUUUGAACGCACAUUGCGCCCUCUGGUAUUCCGGAGGGCAUGCCUGUUCGAGCGUCAUUUCAACCCUCAAGCCUGGCUUGGUGUUGGGGCACUGCCUGUAAAAGGGCAGGCCCUGAAAUAUAGUGGCGAGCUCGCCAGGACUCCGAGCGUAGUAGUUAAACCCUCGCUUUGGAAGGCCUGGCGGUGCCCUGCCGUUAAACCCCAACUUUUGAAAAUUUGACCUCGGAUCAGGUAGGAAUACCCGCUGAACUUAAGCAUAUCUCCUCUACUUUCUUCGGAGCAAAAGAAACCAACAGGGAUUGCCCUAGUAACGGCGAGUGAAGCGGCAACAGCUCAAAUUUGAAAUCUGGCCUCGGCCCGAGUUGUAAUUUGCAGAGGAUGCUUCUGGCGCGGUGCCUUCCGAGUUCCCUGGAACGGGACGCCACAGAGGGUGAGAGCCCCGUAUGGUCGGACACCAAGCCUGUGUGAAGCUCCUUCGACGAGUCGAGUAGUUUGGGAAUGCUGCUCUAAAUGGGAGGUAAAUCUCUUCUAAAGCUAAAUACCGGCCAGAGACCGAUAGCGCACAAGUAGAGUGAUCGAAAGAUGAAAAGCACCUUGAAAAGGGGGUUAAAUAGUACGUGAAAUUGUUGAAAGGGAAGCACUUAUGACCAGACUUGGGCCGGGCGGCUCAUCAGGGGUUCUCCCCUGUGCACUCCGCCCGGCACAGGCCAGCAUCGGUUCUCGUGGGGGGAUAAGACCGUCAGGAACGUAGCACCCUCCGGGGUGUGUUAUAGCCUGGCGGACGAUACCCCCGUGGGGACCGAGGUCCGCGCUCCGCAAGGAUGCUGGCGUAAUGGUCAUCAGUGACCCGCUGAACCGAGGCGCGAACAA